rnacentral:rRNA from 1 species
AUGAACGCUAGCGACAGGCCUAACACAUGCAAGUCAGGGGCAGCACAAGGAGCAAUCUGAGGUGGCGACCGGCGCACGGGUGAGUAACACGUAUGCAACCUGCCUGUAAGCGGGGAAUAACCCGUUGAAAGACGGACUAAUACCGCAUAAUACUAAAUUACUGCAUGGUAAUUUAUUUAAGCAUUUAUGGCUUACAGAUGGGCAUGCGCAUGAUUAGCUAGUUGGAGAGGUAACGGCUCCCCAAGGCAACGAUCAUUAGGGGUUCUGAGAGGAAGGUCCCCACACUGGUACUGAGACACGGACCAGACUCCUACGGGAGGCAGCAGUGAGGAAUACUGGUCAAUGGACGAGAGUCUGAACCAGCCAAGUCGCGUGCAGGAAGAAUGUCCUUAAUGGAUUGUAAACUGCUUUUGCAGGGGAAUAAAGUGCAUCACGUGUGAUGUUUUGUAUGUACUCUGCGAAUAAGGAUCGGCUAACUCCGUGCCAGCCGCUGC